CGUGAGUAACCUGCCUCUAAGAGGGGGAAUAACAUUCUGAAAAGAAUGCUAAUACCGCAUAACAUAUAUUUAUCGCAUGGUAGAUAUAUCAAAGAUUUAUCGCUUAGAGAUGGACUCGCGUCCGAUUAGUUAGUUGGUGAGGUAACGGCUCACCAAGACUGCGAUCGGUAGCCGGACUGAGAGGUUGAACGGCCACAUUGGGACUGAGACACGGCCCAG
rnacentral:rRNA from 1 species